AGAGUUUGAUCCUGGCUCAGGAUGAACGCUAGCGGCAGGCCUAAUACAUGCAAGUCGAGGGGCAGCACGAGUACUUGUACUUGGUGGUGACCGGCGCACGGGUGCGUAACGCGUAUGCAACCUACCCUUAACUGGAAGAUAGCCCGAAGAAAUUCGGAUUAAUACUCCAUAGUAUCACCAGAUGGCAUCUGAAGGUGAUUAAAGAUUUAUUGGUUAAGGAUGGGCAUGCGUGACAUUAGCUAGUUGGUGAGGUAACGGCUCACCAAGGCAGCGAUGUCUAGGGGUUCUGAGAGGAUUUUCCCCCACACUGGUACUGAGACACGGACCAGACUCCUACGGGAGGCAGCAGUAAGGAAUAUUGGUCAAUGGACGAGAGUCUGAACCAGCCAUGCCGCGUGCAGGAUGAAUGCCCUAUGGGUUGUAAACUGCUUUUAUUUAGGAAGAAACCCCUUUACGUGUAAAGGGCUGACGGUACUAAACGAAUAAGCACCGGCUAACUCCGUGCCAGCAGCCGCGGUAAUACGGAGGGUGCAAGCGUUAUCCGGAUUUACUGGGUUUAAAGGGUGCGCAGGCGGAAUGAUAAGUCAGUGGUGAAAUCCUACAGCUCAACUGUAGAACUGCCAUUGAUACUGCUGAUCUUGAGUUCGGUUGAAGUGGGCGGAAUAUGUAGUGUAGCGGUGAAAUGCAUAGAUAUUACAUAGAACACCUAUUGCGAAGGCAGCUCACUAAGCCGAUACUGACGCUCAGGGACGAAAGCGUGGGGAGCGAACAGGAUUAGAUACCCUGGUAGUCCACGCUGUAAACGAUGAUAACUCGCUGUUGGCGAUAUACUGUCAGCGGCCAAGCGAAAGCGUUAAGUUAUCCACCUGGGGAGUACGAUCGCAAGGUUGAAACUCAAAGGAAUUGACGGGGGCCCGCACAAGCGGUGGAGCAUGUGGUUUAAUUCGAUGAUACGCGAGGAACCUUACCUGGGCUUAAAUGCAGAACGACCGGCUGGGAAACCUUUCUUCUCUUCGGAACUAUUUACAAGGUGCUGCAUGGUUGUCGUCAGCUCGUGCCGUGAGGUGUUGGGUUAAGUCCCGUAACGAGCGCAACCCUUAUCAUUAGUUACCAGCGAGUCAUGUCGGGGACUCUAAUGAGACUGCCUACGCAAGUAGUGAGGAAGGUGGGGAUGACGUCAAAUCAUCACGGCCCUUACGUCCAGGGCUACACACGUGCUACAAUGGAUGGUACAGUAGGUCGCUACAUGGCAACAUGAUGCUAAUCCGAAAAGCCAUUCUCAGUUCGGAUUGAAGUCUGCAACUCGACUUCAUGAAGGCGGAUUCGCUAGUAAUCGCACAUCAGCAAUGGUGCGGUGAAUACGUUCCCGGGCCUUGUACACACCGCCCGUCAAGCCAUGGAAGCCGGGGGUACCUAAAGUCGGUAACCGCAAGGAGCUGCCUAGGGUAAAACUAGUAACUGGGGCUAAGUCGUAACAAGGUAACC
rnacentral:rRNA from 1 species